CCCUCUUAGUUAAACAAUUUUUAUGAUUAAUAAUUGAAUUUGAUUAAUCAAAUUAGUGCCCUUGAUUUCUUAGGGAAUUUAGUUACUACUGCAAGAACAAAGAAGCAUAUAGGCAACUGUGCAAACUCAUCCUCUCACCCCAUGCCGUUCUUUCUUUUGCUUCUUCUUUAAUCUCCCAGAAUCCCCAGAUGAUGAGGCUCAGAGCCCCUCAUUUAAAAUCGCCUUGCCUGGGAACAUAAAGGAGCUUCAGCUCUAUCACCCGGCGUCUCAUCGCACUUCUUAUACACGCCUCAGCAUAUUUGAGAAAUGACGAUUAAUUUCAAUUCUGCUGUUGCAACUUCCAAAUUUAAUCACCCCGUUGCUUACAUGCUUUCCGUUUUCACUCGGCCAUAUUUAGGUAUCCUGACUUCAACGGUUCAACCCCUCCCCCUUCGUUGUACCAAAUUUUAGGAAUGCAAUCUCAUUUUGUGCUUUGUUUUCCCCUACAUUAUAGAUUUAUACCCCUGGGUUUCAUGAUUUCUAUGUUGCCAAACCUUUUAAAUUUUACACAUUUGUAUCCUUGUUGAUGCAAAAGGCAAUCAACUUUAACCCCCUAUCAACAACCGUAUGUUCAAAAGUUUCUUUACUUUUUUUACAUUAAAGUUGAGUUAAAAAAUAAGGAGAAGGUUGUUUAUCGUACACAAUUUAAAUGGAAAUACCAUUUAGCCCCCAUUUCCCUUCUUGUUUUUUUUUGUCUUCUUCCUUACAGACGGUGUAAAUACCAAUAUACCCCUCCCUUGUGAAGCUGACGCGUGUCUAAACAAAAUGUCAGUUGCCUUCCUUCCUUUCUUCGAUCCUCCUCCUUUUGCCUGCUUCCCUAUCCUUUUUCCUCAAUUACUUCUCUUUUCCUGGAAUUCUCACAUGCCAUCUCCCUCCCUUCCAUAAUUUCCAGAAGUCCACCGCAAACAUUGUAGAGCUGGAGCAGCAAUACGACCAUGAAGAAAUCACCGAACAACGAUGAAGAGUCCUCCUAUUCCUUUUGGUAAUAUAAUUCUUUAUUUGCCAAAAAAAAAGAAGGUUUGUUGGAUAAUUCAUAUUUUCUUUUCUGUUCUUUGUUGUUUGGGAUGAUUUUAUUCAUUAUUAAUCAUGAUUUUAUUGUUUUAAUGUUUCUUGAUUGUGUUUUUAUAUUGUUUGAUUCAUAAUUCUGGAUUCAUUAAUCGCGGUGGGGAAAGGAAGGCGAAGGUGGUGGCAACACGUUUGAUGUUAUCCUCUGUUUUGUUGACACCAUAGGUGGCGAAGCCAUUCAACAGCUCCUCGUGAUGUUCCCCCCUAGACUCUCCGUUAACUUUUUAGCUUUAUCCCUGUCUUUAUGUCCCUGGUAUACUUCCAUUUCUCAUCUAAAUUCCUUUACUACUUUCUCAUACAAUUUUGAUUUUUGUCAAAUGCGAUUUUUCAGGUUAAGUUUUAUAACCGCAUUAAUGUCAUCAGUUUAAUCAUUUUGAAUUAUGUGAUCAAUUUGAGUUAUAUUUAUAAAACUUGAUUAGUUUAUAAAUCUGAGCUAUGUUUCAUGUUUUUAGUAUUGAAAUCUGAAUUAAUACUUUUCUUUUUUUAUUUUCCUUCCGUUUUUUGUUAGAUUUUAUCUUUUGUUUCUUUCUCUUACAUUUUUGAGUUCGAUAAUGGCUUAUUCCUCUGUCACAAAGAUUAGUGCCACGUUAGCCUUAUCUUGAUAUUUCUUCCACCCAAAAGUUCCUGGCUUUAGUUGAAAACGGCAUCCAGCUGAACCUGUUGUCCUAUACUAUGAUGUAGGAGUAGUAGUAACAUGACCUAUAGAAAUAAAUAUACGCCUCAAAUUGAGAUAAUUAAUCAACACAAAGUCACAAAUAAUAGUUGGCUCUCGCAUUUAGAAAAAGGAAAUAGAUUGGGGAUGUAUGUUGUAGACAAAAGUGGGAGUUGUCUUUCCAUAUAUGCAAAAGGCAUAAAAGUGUUAAAUGUAAUAAACUUAUGCACUGGAACUCUGAAAGGACACAAAACAGUGAAGAACACUUAAAGAGAUAAAACAUGUGCUAUUAGUCUUAUUAGACCAUAUAUAGACGCUACUAAGGUGAUUAUGGUAUAGCCUCAUGAUUCAAGCAGUCACAUGCCUGAGGAAGUUUCAAGUUGCAAAUUGUGAAAUUUAGUUAGUUUCAUAUCUACCUGCCUGAGAUGUGAAAUUUAGUUUCAUGUCAAAGAGUAAUAAUUGAGGAACAAGAAAAUGAAUCAACACUAAAGUAGGAGAGAUUAUAAGCGCUCUAAGCUAUAAUCGUGCCUUACUACACCGAUGAUAUGUGUGUUUCCUGUCAUUUGGUAGAUGGCUCUGUGUUCACAUGGGGGUGGGGAGGUUCUCAUGGAAUAUUUUCUGUGGAUGGUCAUUCUUCCGGUGGACAGCUGGUUUGUUUGUAUAUCUUGUGCACCCUUAAGUUUUUCAUGUUUGGCAUCACAUGAACUAUGUCUUAAUGCAAACGCUCCUUUCUAUAUACAUCAAGCUAAAAUGUUUUUGUGUGAAUUUUCUAGCUUAUGGUUAUACAUGAUAGAUCAUGUUUACUGUUUUUGUUUGGUAGUUGGAUUACACUUGUAUUCUGUAUAUGUGUGUUUGUGUGUGUUUGUAUACCCCUUUAUCUGAAUAUCGAUUAUUUAUUUCUAAAAUACUUCGUAUAAGUUUAUCGAGAUGCGAGGGGUUUAAGGAGCCAAUGUGACGAAAAAAUAAAUAAAGAGGAGCCAAUGUGAUGCAAAGUGAGAUAAAGAAAAAUCAUAUGCAAAUAAAGAAAUAUUGCGAUAAAUAUGGAGCUAGAAGAGAAAUAUUCCAAUAUUAAGAGGAACGAGGGAGUACAUUAUAAAGUGGCCAAGCCUUGAACACAAAUCCUUCUCUGGGAAAAGUUGUUAUCCCAUUUUUUUGUUACUAAGGUUAAAAAUAGUUGUUAUUUUGGGUGUUCAAGAGUGUCCAAAGUUUCCUUAACUUUCGGAAGGAAUGUAUACUUCCAUGUACCUUCCUUAACUCUCCUUUCUCCUUUCCUACAUUUUUUUCCUAUAUAAGAAACCUAUCAAAGGAAAAUGAGGUUUGAGCAAUGAUUUCUAUACAGUACAUUUGGAGAUAAAUAAAAUUAACUUGGUACCUCUUAUCUGGGCAAUUUUUCUUGAAACUUAUUUCCAUUGAUGUGUAAAUUUAAAAGGCCUAAUUGUUCUCUUGUUUUGCUUGUUAGUUCUCUAGCUUCUUAUGGAGCUUGUAUUAGGCCAAUGCCUUAUGCAAACGAGAUUGACUUAAGAAUGCUAAUAGGUGGUGCAGUUCGUGAAGCUUGUGUGAUGGAAUACAAUAUCACUCCUCUCUUUCCAUACUACUCUUACCAUGGACCUGUUUUUCGAGUUAUGUUAAGAGUUAACCAUGGAAGGCUAAGUGAUAUGAUACUAUGUGCUUAGAUGUUUCAAUUAUUCAUUUUGUAGAGUUCUAAUUACUGGCUUAUAUUGUGAUGACAGACAUUAUGGGUUUGUAAGCUACUGUCACGGUUGUGGAAAUUCUCAGGCAUUUACAUGGCAUGAACUCGGGAAGAUCGUUUGCUCCAACUGCAGUGCUAAGGUUUACAGUUUAAGUCAAGGUAAAAGGGAUGUAGAGACAGUUAUGUAAGAUGUUAGCAUGUAAGAUGUUAGCAUUUCCCCCCAGCCUGCCAGAGGAUAACAAGUGGUCCGCUGUUAGGUUUGAUCGGAAGGUUAGAGAUUUCACUCAUGGAGAUUUGAGCAACAUAGUUGCACUUCAGGGAGUGUUGGCACCCUUCGAUAUCUGCGAGAAUCCUACUCGGUUCCUCUGAAUUGGUGUCGCUCGUGUUUCACUUGUCAGUGCAACAUUUAUCAGACCUGUGUCUACGUUGUUGCUCAUGUAUGUCUUGCAGCUAAUUGUUGUUUAUUCUCCAUGGAUAUCAGAUAAGCUGCUGCUGUAGCACGACGAAUUAAACGGUUGAAAAUUACUCAAGCCUUGUCAUACACCUGUUCUCACAUGCAAUCCCAUUUUUAUAGAUUUCUGUUUAGUGCAGCCUAGACUCGUCCUUAUGAAACAAGACUAUUGAUUGGUUGUGCAAUGCGUAGCAGCAGACCAUCACAUGACCAUAAUGGUUUGUCAACUCUUGUAUUAAGUCUGGAUAUUGCCGCUACAGGAGUUUUGCCAAUGGUAAGAGUUUUUCCUGGCAGAGAUGACAUGGAUAUGUGUAGCAACAGCCAACAGAUUGAUACUACAAAAGGCAUGAAACAAGGAGGCUUGAUACUACAUUACUGCAGGAGGUUUGCCAAUGCUUAAUAUUCUACUACUGUUAUUUUAAAUUUGUAGGUAGUAUUAUGUAUUAAUUAGUUUAUGUAUUGUUCAAAGUUAGUUUGUAAUCAAACAUGUCCUCAUCUAUUUCUGUAUAAUAAUUAUACUCGGGGUUUGCUUUG